rnacentral:lncRNA from 1 species
UCGCCGCCUGACUCAGAACCCGGGCAGGGGGUCGCCGCCCCCACAAGUUUCCUGGUCCCUACUGGUGAGAAGCGAGAAAACCCCGCCCCCAGCAGGCACGUUGGGCCGGCUCAGGUGAAGCGAGGCCUGCGUCCCCUGCGCGCUCCCCACGCCGGGAGCCGAGGAAACCAAAAAAGAAAGAGCUGAAAAAAAAAAAUAAAAUAAUAUAGUUAUUUAUGUUUCCAGGCUUCAUGGACGGUCUUGUAGAACA